UACGAACCGUGCGAACGUUAUUCGGAAUCACUGGGCUUAAAGCGCGUGUAGGCGGAUGGGGACGUCGGUCGCUGAAAUCCCCCGGCUCAACCGGGGAACGGGCGCCGAAACGCCCCGUCUCGAGGGACGUAGGGGGACCUGGAACUUCCGGUGGAGCGGUGAAAUGCGUUGAGAUCGGAAGGAACGCCCGUGGCGAAAGCGAGGUCCUGGACGUCUUCUGACGCUGAGACGCGAAAGCUAGGGGAGCGAACGGG
rnacentral:rRNA from 1 species